rnacentral:rRNA from 1 species
UCCGUAGGUGAACCUGCGGAAGGAUCAUUACCGAGUUCAUGCCCUUACGGGUAGAUCUCCCACCCUUUGUAUACUAUACCUUUGUUGCUUUGGCGGGCCGCCUAGCUAUUGGCUUCGGCUGGUAAGUGCCCGCCAGAGGACCCAAAACCCUGAAUUAUUAGUGUCGUCUGAGUAAAAUAUUUAAUAUUUAAAACUUUCAACAACGGAUCUCUUGGCUCUGGCAUCGAUGAAGAACGCAGCGAAAUGCGAUAAGUAAUGUGAAUUGCAGAAUUCAGUGAAUCAUCGAAUCUUUGAACGCACAUUGCGCCCCUUGGUAUUCCGAGGGGCAUGCCUAUUCGAGCGUCAUUAUCACCCCUCAAGCCUAGCUUGGUGUUGAGGCCUGCUGUAAGGGCAGCCUCUAAAAUCAGUGGCAGUGCUGUCAGGCUCUAAGCGUAGUAAAAUUCAUCGCUAUAGACACCUGGUGGACACUCGCCAGAACCCCCCCAUUUUUUAAUGAUUGACCUCGGAUUAGGUAGGGAUACCCGCUGAACUUAAGCAUAUCAAUAAGCGGAGGA